rnacentral:lncRNA from 1 species
GCUUUACAGUCUCGUCACUUCAUUAUUACCAUAGCAACAUGUUGAUACAUAGGACUUGGAAUGUCUUCAUGGCAUAAUUAUGUAGUUAUUAAGAUGCAAUUACCAAAGUAUUAUGUAACAGCAUAAUAAUAAAGUUUAUACUUAGGAACCAGGUUAAUUGUACAGUGGAUUACUCAGGAACAGUUAUGUUACAGUGGUUACUCAGGAACAGGUUAAUGUUACAGUGGAUUAUCCAGGAACAGGUUAAUGUUAGUGGAUUACUCAGGAACAGGUUAAUGUUAGUGGAUUACUCAGGAACAGGUUAAUGUUAAAGUGGAUUACUCAGGAACAGGUUAAAGUUAGGGAUUACUCA